rnacentral:rRNA from 1 species
UACGGAGGGUGCAAGCGUUGUCCGGAUUUACUGGGCGUAAAGCGUGCGCAGGCGGUUUUGUAAGUCUGUCGUGAAAGCCCCGGGCUCAACCUGGGAAUUGCGAUGGAGACUGCAAGGCUUGAAUCUGGCAGAGGGGGGUAGAAUUCCACGUGUAGCAGUGAAAUGCGUAGAGAUGUGGAGGAACACCGAUGGCGAAGGCAGCCCCCUGGGUCAAGAUUGACGCUCAUGCACGAAAGCGUGGGGAGCAAACAGG